AGUUGGAUAGUUGGGUCAAAUGGUAGUUCCAUUUUUAUUGCAGUAUGGACAUUCCAUUUUUUGAGGAAUGUCCAUACUGCUUUCCAGAGUGGCUGCACAAAUUUGCAGUCCUAUCAGCAAU
rnacentral:pre_miRNA from 1 species